rnacentral:rRNA from 1 species
GACGAACGCUGGCGGCGUGCUUAACACAUGCAAGUCGUACGGUAAGGCCCUUUCGGGGGUACACGAGUGGCGAACGGGUGAGUAACACGUGAGUAACCUGCCCACAACUUUGGGAUAACGCUAGGAAACUGGUGCUAAUACUGGAUAUGUGCUCCUGCUGCAUGGUGGGGGUUGGAAAGCUUCGGCGGUUGUGGAUGGACUCGCGGCCUAUCAGCUUGUUGGUGGGGUAGUGGCCUACCAAGGCGGCGACGGGUAGCCGGCCUGAGAGGGUGACCGGCCACAUUGGGACUGAGAUACGGCCCAGACUCCUACGGGAGGCAGCAGUGGGGAAUAUUGCACAAUGGGCGCAAGCCUGAUGCAGCAACGCCGCGUGCGGGAUGACGGCCUUCGGGUUGUAAACCGCUUUCAGCAGGGACGAAGCUUUUUGUGACGGUACCUGCAGAAGAAGCACCGGCUAACUACGUG